AAAGAAUGUACCUCAGUCGUUGAAUAUUUAAGUUCUUCAAAAUCUGUGGAAUAAUGAAGACAGUAUGUCCAUCCAAGCAAACAAUUGCUUCAUGGGGAGCCUGUGUGUCUCAAAUUAGUUAAUUCCUGGACUUUAAAUUGGCCCCUGUUCCUGUUAUUUAAAGCCAGCAAAGAGUAGCACUGGCAGGAAAGCUGUCUGCCAGAAAAGGGCAUUUUCAAAGUCACACAGCAUGAACAUCUUCUUGUCAAGACCCAUUACAAGAAAAAAGUAGUCUCUGCCCAGUGGGCUCUGUGUGGGAACCUGGUUGCCUCAGUUUGAGUGGUGAAUCCUUCAACAGCUGGCUAGAGUUUUGUGUGAUGAUUUGGCUAUACAAAAUCUAUGCAACUCUACAGAUUCAGACCAGAGAUACCUCUGGUGUUAUGUCAUACAGGAAAUUACAUUAAAGAUUUUGCUCAGCGUAAGCGAGUGCAAAUAAUGGAGAACAGAAACAGGUAUUGUUGUGUACUAUUUGU
rnacentral:lncRNA from 1 species